CCUACGGGAGGCAGCAGUGGGGAAUAUUGGACAAUGGGGGCAACCCUGAUCCAGCCAUGCCGCGUGUGUGAAGAAGGCCUUCGGGUUGUAAGGCACUUUCAGUGGGGAGGAAGGCUAAGUAGUUAAUACCUGCUUAGAUUGACGUUACCCACAGAAGAAGCACCGGCUAACUCCGUGCCAGCAGCCGCGGUAAUACGGAGGGUGCAAGCGUUAAUCGGAAUUACUGGGCGUAAAGCGCACGCAGGCGGUUUGUUAAGCUAGAUGUGAAAGCCCCGGGCUCAACCUGGGACGGUCAUUUAGAACUGGCAGACUAGAGUCUUGGAGAGGGGAGUGGAAUUCCAGGUGUAGCGGUGAAAUGCGUAGAUAUCUGGAGGAACAUCAGUGGCGAAGGCGACUCCCUGGCCAAAGACUGACGCUCAUGUGCGAAAGUGUGGGUAGCGAACAGGAUUAGAUACCCUGGUAGUCCACACCGUAAACGCUGUCUACUAGCUGUUUGCGACUUUAAGUUGUGAGUAGCGAAGCUAACGCGAUAAGUAGACCGCCUGGGGAGUACGGCCGCAAGGUUAAAACUCAAAGGAAUUGACGG
rnacentral:rRNA from 1 species